rnacentral:rRNA from 1 species
UUCGGAAAUGAGAGAGCGGCGUACGGGUGCGGAACACGUGUGCAACCUGCCUUUAGUCUGGGGGAUAGCCUUUCGAAAGGAAGAUUAAUACUCCAUAACAUAUUGAACGGCAUCGUUUGAUAUUGAAAGCUCCGGCGGAAUAGAGGAUGGGCACGCGCAAGAUUAGCUAGUUGGUGAGGUAACGGCUCACCAAGGCAAUGAUCUUUAGGGGGCCUGAGAGGGUGAUCCCCCACACUGGUACUGAGACACGGUCCAAACUCCUACGGGAGGCAGCAGUGAGGAAUAUUGGUCAAUGGACGAGAGUCUGAACCAGCCAAGUAGCGUGCAGGAUGACGGCCCUAUGGGUUGUAAACUGCUUUUAUAAGGGAAUAAAGUGAGUCUCGUGAGGCUUUUGCAUGUACCUUAUGAAUAAGGACCGGCUAAUUCCGUG